ensembl:lncRNA
AGGAGGCAGGUAGCCUAGUGCUUAGAGUGUAGAGGUGGUAGGUAGCCUAGUGGUUAGAGUGUAGAGGAGGCAGGUAGUCUAGUGGUUAGAGUGUAGAGGUGGCAGGUAGCCUAGUGGUUAGUGUGUAGAGGCGGCAGGUAGCCUAGUGGUUAGAGUGUAGAGGUGGCAGGUAGCCUAGUGGUUAGAGUGUAGAGGUGGCAGGGUAGUCUAGUGGUUAGAGUGUAGAGGUGGUAGGUAGCCUAGUGGUUAGAGUGUAGAGGCGGCAGGUAGCCUAGUGGUUAGAGUGUGUAGGAGGCAGGUAGCCUAGUGGUUAGAGUGUAGAGGAGGCAGGUAUCCUAGUGGUUAGAGUGUAGAGGUGGCAGGUAGCCUAGUGGUUAGAGUGUAGAGGAGGCAGGUAGCCUAGUGGUUAGGGUGUAGAGGUGGCAGGUAGCCUGGUGGUUAGAGUGUAGAGGCGGCAGGUAGCCUAGUGGUUAGAGUGUAGAGGCGGCAGGUAGCCUAGUGGUUAGAGUGUAGAGGGGGCAGGUAGCCUAGUGGUUAGAGUGUAGAGGGGGCAGGUAGCCUAGUGGUUAGAGUGUAGAGGCGGCAGGUAGCCUAGUGGUUAGAGUGUAGAGGUGGCAGGUAGCCUAGUGGUUAGAGUGGAGAGGAGGGCAGGUAGCCUAGUGGUUAGAGUGUAGAGGAGGCAGGUAGCCUAGUGGUUAGAGUGUAGAGGGGGCAGGUAACCUAGUGGUUAGAGUGUAGAGGGGGCAGGUAGCCUAGUGGUUAGAGUGUAGAGGCGGCAGGUAGCCUAGUGGUUAGAGUGUAGAGGUGGCAGGUAGCCUAGUGGUUAGAGUGUAGAGGAGGCAGGUAGCCUAGUGGUUAGAGUGUAGAGGUGGUAGGUAGCCUAGUGGUUA